UACGAACCACCCAAACGUUAUGCGGAAUUACUGGGCUUAAAGCGUGCGUAGGCGGCCCUGCAAGUUAGGGGUGAAAUCCCACAGCUCAACUGUGGAACUGCGCUUAAAACUACAGGGCUAGAGGGAUAUAGAGGUGAGCAGAACAGAUGGUGGAGCGGUGAAAUGCGUAGAUAUCUGGAGGAACACCGGUGGCGAAGGCGGCAUCCUGGACCAACACUGACGCUGAGGAGCGAAAGCCAGGGGAGCAAACGGG
rnacentral:rRNA from 1 species